UGGGGAAUAUUGCACAAUGGGCGCAAGCCUGAUGCAGCCAUGCCGCGUGUGUGAAGAGGCCUUCGGGUUGUAAGCACUUUCAGCGAGGAGGAAGGUGGUGAGCUUUAAUACGCUCAUCAAUUGACGUUACUCGCAGAAGAAGCACCGGCUAACUCCGUGCCAGCAGCCGCGGUAAUGACGGAGGGUGCAAGCGUUAAUCGGAAUUACUGGGCGUAAAGCGCACGCAGGCGGUUUUGUUAAGUCAGAUGUGAAAUCCCCGGGCUCAACCUGGGAACUGCAUUUGAAACUGGCAAGCUAGAGUCUCGUAGAGGGGGGUAGAAUUCCAGGUGUAGCGGUGAAAUGCGUAGAGAUCUGGAGGAAUACCGGUGGCGAAGGCGGCCCCCUGGACGAAGACUGACGCUCAGGUGCGAAAGCGUGGGGAGCAAACAGGAUUAGAUACCCUGGUAGUCCACGCUGUAAACGAUGUCGAUUUUGGAGGUUGUGCCCUUGAGGCGUGGCUUCCGGAGCUAACGCGUUAAAUCGACCGCCUGUGGAGUACGGCCGCAAGGUUAAAACUUAAAGGAAUUGACGGGGUC
rnacentral:rRNA from 1 species